UACGUAGGGUGCAAGCGUUAAUCGGAAUUACUGGGCGUAAAGCGUGCGCAGGCGGUUUGUAAGUCUGUCGUGAAAGCCCCGGGCUCAACCUGGGAAUUGCGAUGGAGACUGCAAGGCUUGAAUCUGGGCAGAGGGGGGUAGAAUUCCACGUGUAGCAGUGAAAUGCGUAGAGAUGUGGAGGAACACCGAUGGCGAAGGCAGCCCCCUGGGUCAAGAUUGACGCUCAUGCACGAAAGCGUGGGGAGCAAACAGG
rnacentral:rRNA from 1 species